rnacentral:rRNA from 1 species
CCUACGGGAGGCAGCAGUGGGGAAUCUUGCGCAAUGGGCGAAAGCCUGACGCAGCCAUGCCGCGUGAAUGAUGAAGGUCUUAGGAUUGUAAAAUUCUUUCACCGGGGACGAUAAUGACGGUACCCGGAGAAGAAGCCCCGGCUAACUUCGUGCCAGCAGCCGCGGUAAUACGAAGGGGGCUAGCGUUGCUCGGAAUUACUGGGCGUAAAGGGAGCGUAGGCGGAUAGUUUAGUCAGAGGUGAAAGCCCAGGGCUCAACCUUGGAAUUGCCUUUGAUACUGGCUAUCUUGAGUAUGGGUAGAGGUAUGCGGAACUCCGAGUGUAGAGGUGAAAUUCGUAGAUAUUCGGAAGAACACCAGUGGCGAAGGCGGCAUACUGGCCCAUUACUGACGCUGAGGCUCGAAAGCGUGGGGAGCAAACAGGAUUAGAUACCCUGGUAGUCCACGCCGUAAACGAUGAGUGCUAGUUGUCGGCAUGCAUGCNUGUCGGUGCGCAGCUACGACAUAAGUACGACGUCCGCCGUGGGUAGGUACGGUCGCGAGUAAGUUAAACGUACGUUAAAGAAGUUAGACGGCGUGAGACGNGCCGACGGCGACGACGAGGGAGGAGG